GCAUAUCAAUAAGCGGAGGAAAAGAAACUAACAAGGAUUCCCCUAGUAACUGCGAGUGAAGCGGGAAAAGCUCAAAUUUAAAAUCUGGCGGCAUCUUGCUGUCCGAGUUGUAGUCUGGAGAAGCGUUUUCUGUGCUGGACCGUGUACAAGUCUCUUGGAAUAGAGCGUCAUAGAGGGUGAGAAUCCCGUCUUUGACACGGACUACCAGUGCUUUGUGAUGCGCUCUCAAAGAGUCGAGUUGUUUGGGAAUGCAGCUCAAAAUGGGUGGUAAAUUCCAUCUAAAGCUAAAUAUUGGCGAGAGACCGAUAGCGAACAAGUACCGUGAGGGAAAGAUGAAAAGCACUUUGGAAAGAGAGUUAAACAGUACGUGAAAUUGCUGAAAGGGAAACGCUUGAAGUCAGUCACGUUGGUUCAGAACUCAGCCUGGCUCUUUUGCUUGGUGCACUUUCUGAUCAACGGGCCAGCAUCAAUUUUGAUCAUUGGAGAAAUUCUCUGGGAAUGUGGCUCUCUUGAGAGUGUUAUAGCCUGGGGUUGUAUACAGUGAUUGGGAUUGAGGAACUCAGCACGCCUUCAUGGUCGGGGUUCGCCCACGCUCGUGCUUAGGAUGCUGGCGUAAUGGCUUUAAACGACCCGUCUUGAAACACGGACCAAGGAGUCUAACAUGCCUGCGAGUGUUUGGGUGGAAAACCCGAGCGCGCAAUGAAAGUGAAAGUUGGGAUCUCUGUCGUGGAGAGCACCGACGCCCAUACCAGACCUUUUUGUGACGGCUAUGCGGUUGAGCAUGUAUGUUGGGACCCGAAAGAUGGUGAACUAUGCCUGAAUAGGGUGAAGCCAGAGGAAACUCUGGUGGAGGCUCGUAGCGAUUCUGACGUGCAAAUCGAUCGUCAAAUUUGGGUAUAGGGGCGAAAGACUAAUCGAACCAUCUAGUAGCUGGUUCUGCGAG
rnacentral:rRNA from 1 species